GAUGAACGCUGGCGGCGUGCCUAAUACAUGCAAGUCGAGCGAACAGACGAGGAGCUUGCUCCUCUGACGUUAGCGGCGGACGGGUGAGUAACACGUGGAUAACCUACCUAUAAGACUGGGAUCACUUCGGGAAACCGGCGCUAAUACCGGAUAAUAUAUUGAACCGCAUGGUUCAAUAGUGAAAGACGGUUUUGCUGUCACUUAUAGCUGGAUCUGGGCCGCAUUAGCUAGUUGGUAAGGUAACGGCUUACCACGGCGACGAUGCGUAGCCGACCUGAGAGGGGGAUCGGCCACACUGGAACUGAGACACGGUCCAGACUCCUACGGGAGGCAGCAGUAGGGAAUCUUCCGCAAUGGGCGAAAGCCUGACGGAGCAACGCCGCGUGAGUGAUGAAGGUCUUCGGAUCGUAAAACUCUGUUAUGAGGGAAGAACAAAUGUGUAAGUAACUAUGCACGUCUUGACGGUACCUAAUCAGAAAGCCACGGCUAACUACGUG
rnacentral:rRNA from 1 species